rnacentral:rRNA from 1 species
UAUAUGGAGAGUUUGAUCCUGGCUCAGGAUAAACGCUGGCGGCAUGCCUAAUACAUGCAAGUCGAACGAGCAUAGAAAUAUGCUAGUGGCGAACGGGUGAGUAACACGUAAGUAACCGACCUUAAAGCCGAGGAUACCCGCUGGAAACGGCGGCUAAAACUGGAUAGGACGAGAGCGCAAAAGCGCUUUCGUUUAAAGGUGCAAAUGCACUGCUUUAAGCCGGGCUUGCGGCGCAUUAGCUAGUUGGUGAGAUAAUAGCCCACCAAGGCAACGAUGCGUAGCAGCGCUGAGAGGCGGAACUGCCACACUGGGACUGAGACACGGCCCAGACUCCUACGG